UACGUAGGGGCAAGCGUUGUCCGGAUUCAUUGGGCGUAAAGAGCGUGUAGGCGGCCAGGUAGGUCGGUUGUGAAAACUGGAGGCUCAACCUUCAGAGGUCGACCGAAACCAUCUGGCUAGAGUCCGGAGAGGAGAGUGGAAUUCCUGGUGUAGCGGUGAAAUGCGCAGAUAUCAGGAAGAACACCCGUGGCGAAAGCGGCUCUCUGGAACGGUACUGACGCUGAGACGCGAAAGCGUGGGGAGCGAACAGG
rnacentral:rRNA from 1 species